GCUGCGAGGGGGCGGCGGCCGGGGCGGGGAGCGUUCUGCCGGCGACACGCCGCCCUUCCGCCGGAUGCGGGGCUCCCGGGCGGGCCGGGAGGAGGCCGGCGGCGGGCCGCAGUCCGUGUUCUAGGCGCUGCAAGACAAACGGCGGUAUUUGGGCACCAUGGCUACAGACCCGCUCUCAGAGCUUCAGGAUGACCUGAACUUGGAUGAUACCAACCAGUCCCUCAGCCAGCUCAAACUGGCCUCCAUAGACGAUAAGAACUGGCCAGCAGAUGAAGUCCCUGCGUUCCCCAAAUCAGAGGAUUCCAAAGGCUCCCCUGAGCCCGUCACUCACCUGCGGUGGGAUGAUCCCUACUACGAUAUCGCCAGGCACCACAUUGUGGAAGUAGCAGGUGAUGACAAAUAUGGAAGGAAAGUCAUUUUGUUCAGUGCCUGCCGGAUGCCCCCAAGUCAUCAGCUUGAUCACGUGAAACUGCUGGGGUACCUGAAAUUCACACUGGACCAGUAUGUGGAGAGUGAUUACACACUGGUGUAUCUGCACCACGGCCUGACAAGUGAGAACAAGCCAUCCCUGAGCUGGCUGCGAGAUGCCUACAGGGAAUUUGAUCGCAAGUACAAGAAGAACAUCAAAGCCUUGUACAUUGUGCACCCAACCAUGUUCAUCAAGACCCUGCUGAUUCUCUUCAAGCCUCUGAUCAGCUUUAAGUUUGGACGAAAAAUCUUUUACGUGAACUUCCUUAGUGAGCUGGAGGAGUACGUGAAGCUGGAACAGUUGGGGAUCCCGAGCCAAGUGCUGAAAUAUGAUGAAUAUCUGAGAUCUCUGCAGAAGCCUGCACAAGUGCCCCAGAAGCCGACACCCCCACGCCCGCCACUGCCAAACCAGCAGUUUGGAGUCUCGCUCCAGCAUCUAAGGGAGAAGAGCCCUGAUCAGUCUCCUGUUCCUCUGGUGGUCAGAGAGACCAUUGCUCAUCUGCAGGAGCAUGCUCUUGCAACAGAAGGGAUUUUCCGGAGAUCAGCCAAUACACAGGUUGUCAGGGAGGUCCAGCAAAAAUACAACAUGGGUGUGCCGGUAGAUUUCCAGCAGUAUGAAGAUGUCCACCUCCCUGCUGUGAUUCUCAAGACCUUCUUGAGGGAGCUACCCGAGCCCCUCCUCACUUUUGGCCUCUACAGCCAUGUUGUCAGCUUCCAGAGUGUGGAGGAGGAGAAUCGUGUGGAUGUUGUUCGCAAAACACUCCAAAGUCUGCCAGAAGAAAACUACCAAGUGCUUCAUUUACUGACAGCCUUCCUGGUGCAGGUCUCUGCUCACAGUGACAGAAACAAGAUGACAAACACCAACCUGGCAGUUGUGUUUGGCCCAAAUCUGCUGUGGGCCAAAGAUGUAGCCAUCACCCUAAAAGCCAUCAACCCCAUCAAUACCUUUACCAAGUUCCUGCUGGACCACCAGAAGGAGCUCUUUGAGAAUGUGGAGGCCUGAAUCCAGGCCAGCCCACUCCAGCACACUGUGCCCACCUUCCCACCUUCUUUCCCACCUCGUCUUGGAGCUGUGACCAAGCUGUCUCCAGUGCAAAGGGACCAUUGCUCCCCUGGGUGAUGAGCAGAAUGAGGGCUGUGGAGAUGGUGGAGAAAGUCUCCAGGUGUGUCUGUCCAGUGGCAGCGGCCGUGGCACAACUCCAAGAAGCAGAAGUAAGGCUGGCUGUGCUGCCAGCCACAACCACGCAGAGAGGUGAAUGAGCACGAGAUGCCUCAUAUGUGAGUAACUCUGGGAAGCAGGAGUGCCUUGUGGGAGCGUCAGGCUGGAAACAGGUUUAGAAAAAGAAUGAAGUGUUGCAAGUUUGGCUUUCUCCUGACAGCAGUAGCCUAAACAGGGCCGGGCAUCCACAUUGUUAUCUCCCUCUCGUGAUGAGCAGGUGAGUCAUCUGCCCAGACCUGCCCUCUCCCAGGGGAGUAGCCAGGCGGUUGCACAGGUUACCUUGUCAUCGUGUGCCAAGGGGGAGCAAUUGCUGGCUCCCCAGUUAGGAUUAGCCAGUUAGGUUUAUCAUUUAUCUGACAGCCCAGUGAUGUGUGCAGCACAGCACCGGCCCGCGCCCACUCACUCCUAUCAAUUUGUUUUGCGGGUCAUUAACUCCUGGAUGUAGGGCAGUCUUUGGUUAGGACCACUGCACCCCACCCCUUGAUGCAGACGUGGUUAAUUGGCUUUUCCUGAAGACACUGUAGUUCCUGGUUAAAUCAGAAAGCUUUUUGGCUCGUAGAAAGACUUUUACAUCCAAAGUGAUUAGUACAGCAUAACAAGUGAAAGAUACUGGAUGUGGGAGCAGUACAGAGAGCACUGGAACUAAAAGCACUACCCUUGGGCAGUAGCAGGAGCUGUGGCUGCUUGGCUUGUUGUCUGGAUAUGUUGAUUCUGAUGUUAGCACUUCCAAUUAUACAACAGUGUGCUGCUCUUCAGUUUUUAUUACUGACUGUAUAUCAUUCAAGGUCCAUGCUAUCCAAUUAAGGGCUUCCCCAUGUUGCUGAUUUGCCUUCUACAUCUUGGCAUUGUUCAGUGUGACUUGUGAGAAGCUGUCAGCCAUAUACAAGAAGUCAUUUUUGGCAUCUGAUCACAAGUGGUACUUUGUGUAUGUAUGGUCCUUGUAGUCUGAUUUAUUAGUUUAUUUACCUGCUGUCACUUACUGCACAGUAUCUCAUAUCCAGAGCUGAAGGGGUUACUUAACCUUAGCACUUCUGUGGGGCCUUUUCACGUGGAUGGUGCUUUUGGCUGUAGCCUGCAAUUUCAUAGGCUUCAGUCUGUGACUGAGGUUGGUUAGCAGACAGCCAUGAGCUACGUGCUAGCAGAGCAGCAAGCAGCAUGCUCCUUCACCAGCCUUUCUUGCUGCUGGGAUGCCCACACUAGUUCUUUCUGCAUCUUAUGCGUCUCUUCUACUUCUUGUAUCAGAUCAAAAUAUUCCCAUACUCUUAUUAAGUGUGUUAGUAACAACCACAGAGCGUGCAUGUUCUGCUUUUUCCCCCCCACACCACUUUAGGAGAUAAGUUAACAUUUCAGCUGGGGUGGGACAUCCAGGUAAGUCUGGAUCCAAAUAAAUAAGUCAGGACUGUUCCACCCCUGCCUGUGUAUGGGACCAGGCAGGCACAUGUUCUUUUUCCUUGCUGUCUUUCUUCCCAGAAGGCAGCCUCACUGAGGUUCUGCUCCAAACAUAGCACACCGGUGCAUUGCACACCCUACCCCUGGUGGAGACAAUCAACCUGCUCCAUCCUGCACUCACUGGCAGGCAGCUCACUGACCAUCCUGUUUCCUGAAGGAGAAAGAGUGACAGGUUGGGACUGUUCCAAAGCUGUCAGUAGAUGCGGAGAAAAGCAUGUAAUGGAGCAGCGCAGCAGUCCAUUGCUUACAUAAAAGUUUUAUUGGAAAUUCUUUGAAUACUUGAAGUACAUUGGAGACUGUUUCCAAAACAAUACAAUUUAGGAGCCUUCCCCUUCACCCAAAGUAUCUGUAAAGCAGCAGCUACACACAUGCUGUCUUUAACACAGAACUGAGCAGACAUCUGCAAAAAUAAACAGCCCCCAUAACAUAAGCUGUGGCAGGCUGCAGCAGCAUCUAGCUCUUUCUUGAAGCAGAGCACUUACACAGUGGUCAGAGAACUCAGAGCCUACCUAGAUGUAGCAACUAUGUGUUGAAGCUGAGGAAUGUCCAGAAAAGAGGCACAUAACUCAGCCCUAGAGCAUCUCUUUAUUGCUGUGGCCAUCCAGCUCAACACUAGCAGCUUAUAUAGGCAAAUGUCCAGCCUGCUGAAGUAGAAAAGAACUGCCCCACUGAAGUGCUGCCUAACGAGAUGGGGGAGCUGUAGCCAUGUUAGGAACUGCAGCAAACGAGGGCAAGUAUGUGGCUCAGGGGACCUCCUGGGCAGGAUUAGCACAAUGGCAUGCCUUCUGCCACCUCCCUAGCUUUUCAUUGUGACGAGAGGACAGCAGUAGCACUGGCUAGAUGAAGUUCAAUCUGUGCUAGGCUUCUCCCUGAAUACAGCGUGAACCAGCACUUUUCCCCCUCUCUGCUGCUUUGCAGCUCAGCUCAAGCUGCCUGUAAGUUAAGGGAAAGGUGACAGCGACCACCCCUACAAGGUGAUGGAGACCAGCUUCCUGAGCAGAGCUGAGAACCAGGCGAUACCCUCGUUCCUUAUGUUCUGCACUCUUCUGAUACCUCUUCUACCUGUAAAACAAGGUGGCUCUGGCUGUGGGGAUCAAGUAUUUGUUAAAUCCCAUGUAACUUAAGUCCUCUACUAAGCCAUUUAGAAACUUUAAGAUGUCUGUGCGUCUACUUUUGUGAGGCUACUGAAAAGUUGGAUUGGUUGAGUAAGCUGGGUAAGUCGGGGUGGGUAAUUCUCCUUCAGUACAGCUCUUAUCUGGACUUCUAGAACUCACACAACCUUCAUGUGAAGGAACACAUCACUUAACACAAAAGCCAAUGAAGUUUAAGCACUGCGUUGAUCUGACCUUACAAUAAGCUCUACUCUGAACUUGGUUCCUUGCUCUACCAGGGGCACAGAAUUAGUGUUCUAGAGAGGAGAUGGGCUUCCCCCUGUCACCUGCCAGCAAUCAUCUCUGUCAAUUAAGAAUGCAGCAAAGUUGAAGAAGCUGCCACAUCACACUAACUUGAAGGCUGGUUGCUUAACCACUCUAGGGAAACUAAGAUGGUUCCUCAGUACUGACAGAACAACUUCACUUCUGGAGAAAGGGAAAAAACAAACAAACAUAGAUUAGGAAAGUAAGGGGUCUUGCAAUUGCUUGCUUGUUACACAUGGGAGGAGGAAAGAGAACCACGAGAAGACCUACCUUAUCUAAGUUUCUGCUUAGUGUCACUGUUUCUCUUCUCCUCCUCAUGUCAGACAAAAGACACACAACAGCCAAAUCAACCCGAGUGCUGCCAGCCAGUCACAACUGCUAAUAGCCAGCUCAUUACAAAAAUAAAAAUUUCAGCUCAUCGAAAGCCAGCUGAUUAAAAAGUACCAUAAGCUCCCAAAAAUGUGCUUCUUUAUAGAAGCUGCCUUCUGAAUGGCUGAAGAAUGCUGCAAAUUCAUCCAUACCUAUCAGAAUACAGCUUUUUAACCUAAGUCCCCACCACUCCACUACACUGAUGUGUGCAUUUCGUUGUAUCAGUGGGCCCUGACUGGGUGUAAUGGAAACAUAGUCCCCAAAACAGAGUAUUAUAUUAAUCAAGUCUGUCUUAGAAAAUAAAUAUCUUGGAUAUUUUCCUGCAAAAGGAGACUCACGGGACAGGGUUCCAUGGCACACAUGCUGUUCUGCAGUGAUCCAGGGCAGAAUGACCCGCACUACUACAUGAAAACAACAUCUUUUAAAUAUAGGUUUCUUUAAAAGCAAUAAAUAUUUCUUGAUUAAGAUCAUCUAUUAACCAUAAAGCAGAAAAGUUUGCACGGGUUAGAGGAAAGAAUCUUGGACUAAGACUCCUAAUUACAUUAACCCUAAAGAAAUAGGAUUCCUAGUAUUUACAGUUACAUUUCAAAAGCAGAGACUAUGAAUUCAGCAUCAUCACAGCUGCUACGUGCAGGCUUGCCAACACAGUCAACACUGGUAAACUCAGCAUGGCCGAGUGUCAGUACACUCAGGAAGGAAAUGUGGAAAGCACUUCUGUAGUUCCACUCCUGCUUAUCAGCGAGCAUAACAGAAGGCCUCACAAAACGACUGUGUAGAGACCCAGUUCCUUAGAAGCAGGAAAACAAAGGUAACUUGCGUUACGCAGGUCCCAAAGCCGACGUCUCUCCCUGGGCUCCAAGCGCUCACACUGAAGUCAGGCCGAAAUGCCCCGUUCUGCGGAAUGGAUGUCCUGGACUUAAAACUGCUGAUCUGCUGAACUCGCAGACCUUGGAAGUGAGCCAAAGCUUUCUAUGCUCUAACAGGAUCGAAGACUGUAGGAAAAAACAGUCUGUUAGCAAGAAACUAGGUCGAGGGAACUUAUACCAUGGGAUCUUUGGAGGAAACAUAUGGAAACUGUUCACAAAGCCCCUCCACACAGAACAGACCGAAGAGAAAAUGAGUUUCAUACAUUGGAGUUUAACUUCCUGUGUACCUACUGGUCAUAAAUUCAAAACUGAACGUGAACAGGAAGAGCGGUCCAUAACUAUGCAGUGGAGUAGCGGAGGAAAACCAGCAGGUGAGCUGUUGAAAGAGCAAUCAAAGAAAGCUCACUUGAUGGAAGGAAAUAGUCAAAGUGAGACAAAAGGCAGAACAGGGGUGAUACAGAUAUCUGUUGACAUUGUUCUCCAGGAUGCCUCGAAGACAAAGUGCUGCAGUAAAACUGGAAAAUACCUUCACUGCAAGGUUUCUACAAAGGCAUCAAACUCUUUGACAUUUUUCUCAUGGACCGCCAACUUCUCUGGUAAUGAGUCCUGUAAGAGCAAAGAAGGGUGCAGAUCAGGACUCACUCACAGCAGACAGACCAUGAAUUUAAAGCUUCCUUCUAAGGCAAAAAUUCCUUUUCUAAGUCAUCCAACCCCUCUCCACUGCUCUGGGCUCCCCUUCCCACGUGCACAGGAGUCCUCUGGUAGGAUCGAGCAAGUGACCCUGAGAAGGGCACUCUGCCCAGGGUUUGUUUAUUCUGCAGGAAGAGGAGGUGCACUGGGGCCUAGCCUUGUGCAGUUCCUCCAACAGAUGGAGCACAAUAGCCUGCUCAAGUCACUGCCUUAAUCAAGUCACUUGCAGCGCUUCACCUUUGGAAUUCAUUUUUCCCCACAGUACGUUACAAUGGCUGCAAGCCCAGUACUGUGCUCACCCAGACAACUCUUUCACCAGGAUUUUACCUGUGCUCAGGCUGCAAGAUCAGGCCUAGUCUGCCACUAAGCCUGAUGCAGCAGAAGCAGGAUCAGUUUUGAGGGAUUAGUUUUGGAGGUCUGAAUGACAACCACAGCAAGCAACCACAGACAGCAACUUUUAGCUUGAAGAUAAACACACAAGCUUCAGAGCCUCAGGUGUGCCACAAACAAAUCUGCAUUUCUCUGGAACAUAUUAACGAGGGACCCCCACUUUGGGCAGGGCCUCUCUUCUGAGAGGAUGCUACUUCUUUCUAACUAGGAAUAGGGAGGGUACUAUAAAGAAUGUACAAUUCCCACAGACAGAAACUUCAUGGUUCCAUACCAAAUCCUCUGCCAUGGACUGAGCUCCUAUGUCAAUGGAGAGGCUGCUGAGUUGAGGGGGGUUCUGAAACUCACGGUAAAAUGUCCCCAGGUCCAUUGGAAGGAUGUCGUCUUUUGAAAAUGCUGGUUUCUAGAAUCAAAAACACUGCUGUUAAUUCUCAUUCAGAGACCUUGGCUUCCCUUUUACCAUGAUCUCAGGUAAAGAUAUGACCUGCUAUUGGUCACCAUCUUGGUAUAACAACUGUUGCAAUAUUGCAGAUGAAAUAACUGAACAGCUCCAGCUUUAGUCCCUGCCUAGGCCAAGAUCUGUGGUUGACUGAGUGCACUUGGAAGGGAGCAUUUCCUUGGAAUCUAGCUCCUUUAAGCAUUAGAGAGGACAAAAAGCCCAGGUGUUGGUAGGAACUACAAAAUUAUCUCAUCGGUAAGUGCUGGUACUGUGUGUCGGUAUUACUGCAGUUCUGGGACUGGCAGGCUCUAUUUUGGAGCAGAGAAUCAUGGAUCUUUUCCCCCCAGUGAAAACAGCUCUUAAACCAUUUGCCAUUGUACCAGCACAUAAAGCCCACCUGAGGAUGCAGCUGUGUGAGAGCACUGAUCAGAGCACUUACAAAGUCAAUCAUAACAAAGUCAUCAUGGGUGUUCCCUGUGCUGCUGCCACUGGAGCCCUCUGAGUGUAAGCUGCCUUGUAGAGGAGAUUCAGUUUCUGGGGAGUCAGGAGGAUUGACCUGCCCAAGAAAUCAAAGAUGGUGAGUACUGAUCUUAUGAUCACAUCUGUCUGCGUAUUUUGACAGGGUGGGGACAGUCAGGAGGCUGGACCAUGAGCACAUGCUGUAGAAGGGGCAACAAAGACGUGUUUGCAAGUUGAGAGACCCCAAGACUCAGCAAAGGAGAUUUCUUGAAACUAAGUAAGCUUAACUAGUUGUUUUCUCAAAAAUAAAACAAAAACACCCUGU